AGAGUAGAACUCCUCUACGAUUGAGUCUUUCAUAAAAGAAAAAUAUCUUCUUCGAAUCGAUCUGUGUGACAAAUCCGAAAAUCAUCAGUAUUUCGAGACAGACACGACCCAAACUCCUUCCUUAUAAAUUAAGGCUCCGAGAUCCUCCAAGAUAUACAAUUGACUCCUCGCUCUCUUCUCUCAUUGUUCUCCAUCUCCUGAC
rnacentral:lncRNA from 1 species